GAAGGAGAAGAUUACCUUUGGUUUUAGAUCCGACCCCCAAGUUUCCCCAAAUUACACAUAAGCCCCUCCACUUCCGAAAGAAAUUAUAAAUAGGUCCCUGGUUACUGUAAAUCAGCCCUUAAGCCUCCGUUUAAGCCCUUAAUCCAUGUUUAACCCGUCAUUUCAUGCGCCAAAAUUUCUCCAAUUAACCCCAAACUUUACCACGUCAUCCUCCAGAAUACUUUCGCC
rnacentral:lncRNA from 1 species